rnacentral:rRNA from 1 species
CCUACGGGUGGCUGCAGUGGGGAAUAUUGGACAAUGGGCGCAAGCCUGAUCCAGCCACGCCGCGUGAGUGAUGAAGGCCUUCGGGUCGUAAAGCUCUGUGGGGAGGGACGAACCGCCGGUGGUUAAUACCCAUCGGCAUGACGGUACCUCCUUAGCAAGCACCGGCUAACUUCGUGCCAGCAGCCGCGGUAAUACGAAGGGUGCAAACGUUGCUCGGAAUCAUUGGGCGUAAAGCGCACGUAGGCGGCUUCGCAAGUCGGAUGUGAAAUCCCUCG